rnacentral:lncRNA from 1 species
GAACCUGAUCCAAAGUAAACUGACAUGAACAAGAAAGUUGAUACUGACUCCAAAAUAAGUUGUUCCCAUCCUAAACAUUGGAAAGAGGAGUAAAGCAAAACAAACAGAAAUGAAGCAGUUCAGAGCUAGGCACUAAUUUCCAUACACAUCUCUCUUUUGUUUUCCACACUUGUUUAAGGAAAGCAAAAAAUUGCUUUUCUGAGCUUAAAUAUUUCUGAAUACCUUUUGGAAAACUCCAGAAGCUGAAAUAUUUUCAACUUCCCUUGUUAUUCUGUUCCCUUCAGUGUGACCGUAUGGCGGUGUCAUUCCCUCACCAGGUGGUGGCAUGCAGUGGUGACAUUCCCUAACUGCCCGCAGUGGAUCUAGCACACAAGUCCAAGAGCCCACAAGUCCAAGAGAGUUCACAGAGCGCUUCUCCACCCUGCUUUGGUGCAGGUUCCUGAGCCAAUAUCGCUGUGCCAUGUACUGCUCUUUGGAUGUACAAGCUCUCCUAAGUUUUCAUAUUUUAUUUUGAAUACCCUUUCCUUCAUUGGU